rnacentral:rRNA from 1 species
UAGGGGUGCAAGCGUUGUCCGGAAUCAUUGGGCGUAAAGGGUGCGUAGGCGUCCAGACAAGUUGAAUGUUAAAUCCUUCAGCUCAACUGAAGAUCUGCAUUCAAAACUGUCUGGAUUGAGUUUGAGAGAGGAAAGUGGAAUUCCUGGUGUAGCGGUGGCAUGCGUAGAUAUCAGGAGGAGCACCAAUGGCGAAGGCAGCUUUCUGGCUCAAAACUGACGCUGAGGCACGAAAGCGUGGGGAGCAAACAGGAUUAGAUACCCUGGUAGUCCCACGCCCGUAAACGAUGAGCACUAGAUGUCGGGGGAUUCGACCCCUUCGGUGUCUUAGCUAACGCAAUAAGUGCUCCGCCCGGGGACUACGACCGCAAGGUUG